GUGGCUGCAAGAACAUACUGCUCAUGCAGAUGAGAAACCUCUUUUUGGAGCAAGCCAGCCAGCAGGUAUUGGAUGUUGUGCCGGCAACCAAUUCAACUGAUUUGGUCGAUUCAGAACCUCCUCUCAUUGACUUGUCAUCAGGGCCUGCACAAGCCAUCGCACUCCCUUUGCAAGCCAACCUUUCAAAAGCCAUCCCUUCAAAAGCUAUCCCUCUUCCUCCUGCUCCCAAGAAGCCAAAAAUUGAGACGGCAACAAGCACUGCUGCUCUUGAAGCCACGUCCCAGUCUGACAAACAACAACAACUUCAUAAGAAAGGCAAUAUAUUACACAAAUUUCCAUGUUUUACGUAAUAAUGUUUGUUCUGCAGCUGCAGUGUUGAAGAACAUGCAUGUGACGUUCGGCCAGAAUAUGAUGAAUGUCUUCAAGGGCCGUCCUGAGUGGAGUGAUGCUGUUGAGAGUGUGGAAAUGAACCACAAGCGGAAGGGAAAACGCACCAAGGAGAUUCAGGAGUGCUGCAUUUGUCUCAAUGACGAGAGAGAUGUGGCAUUUGUGCCCUGUGGCCACACCGUGUGUUGCAAGACCUGUUCUGCGCAGGUGAAACACUGUCCAAUCUGCAGGAUGUAUAUCAAGAACAAGAUCAAUCUCUUUUACUCUUAAGAUUUGAAACUCAUGAAAUAUUUACGUGCCUAAAAAGGCCCAGAAUUAUGAAACAUAUGUGUAACGUGUCAAAAACUGCAUACGAUUGAUUAAUGCUAAAGAUGAGAAUAUCUAAAUAGAAUUAUUGUUAUACAUUCAGUUUCUCAAACCCAUGGUUAUUGAUCAACAAAAUAUUUAUGAAGCUGACAGCCUUCGGUCAAAAUUAAUUUACUCAUCAAUUUUGAGGUCUUGCGUUAAUAAUGAUAAGUAUAGAAAGUCAUUAUUGAAAGAAUUAAUUUAAAGAACUGCAGUGACCCUGUAUUAAUUGUGAAAUUCUAAAAUGCAUUAUUAUUAUUGAAAACUUAUGAAAAUAAAACCAAAACAAUUAAAUUC